rnacentral:rRNA from 1 species
UUGACAUACUAAGAACUUUCCAGAGAUGGAUUGGUGCCUUCGGGAACUUAGAUACNGGUGCUGCAUGGCUGUCGUCAGCUCGUGUCGUGAGAUGUUGGGUUAAGUCCGCAACGAGCGCAACCCUUUUCCUUAUUUGCCAGCGGGUAAUGCCGGGAACUUUAAGGAUACUGCCAGUGACAAACUGGAGGAAGGCGGGGACGACGUCAAGUCAUCAUGGCCCUUACGGCCAGGGCUACACACGUGCUACAAUGGUCGGUACAAAGGGUUGCUACCUCGCGAGAGGAUGCUAAUCUCAAAAAGCCGAUCGUAGUCCGGAUCGCAGUCUGCAACUCGACUGCGUGAAGUCGGAAUCGCUAGUAAUCGCGGAUCAGAAUGCCGCGGUGAAUACGUUCCCGGGCCUUGUACACACCGCCCGUCACACCAUGGGAGUUUGUUGCACCAGAAGUAGGUAGUCUAACCGCAAGGAGGACGCUUACCACGGUGUGGCCGAUGACUGGGGUGAAGUCGUAACAAGGUAGGCGUAGAUGA